CCUACGGGUGGCAGCAGUCGGGAAUAUUGCGCAAUGGAGGAAACUCUGACGCAGUGAAGCAGCGUAUAGGAAGAAGGUUUUCGGAGUGUAAACUAUUGUCGAUAGGGAAGAUAAAAGACUGUACCUAAGGAGGAAGCACCGGCUAACUAAGUGCCAGCAGCCGCGGUAAUACAUAGGGGGCAAGCGUUAUCCGGAAUUAUUGGGUGUAAAGGGUGCGUAGACGGAAGAACAAGUCGGUUGUGAAAUCCCUCGGCUCAACUGAGGAACUGCAACCAAAACUAGUAGUCUUGAGUGUCGGAGAGGAAAGUGGAAUUCCUAGUGUAGCGGUGAAAUGCGUAGAUAUUAGGAGGAACACCAGUUGCGAAGGCGACUCUCUGGACUAUAACUGACGUUGAGGCACGAAAGUGUGGGGAGCAAACAGGAUUAGAUACCCCUGUAGUC
rnacentral:rRNA from 1 species